rnacentral:rRNA from 1 species
CACGUAGGGCGCGAGCGUUGUCCGGAAUUAUUGGGCGUAAAGAGCUCGUAGGCGGCCUGUUGCGUCCGCUGUGAAAGCCCGGGGCUUAACCCCGGGUCGGCAGGUGGAUACGGGCAGGCUAGAGGUAGGUAGGGGAGAACGGAAUUCCCGGUGUAGCGGUGAAAUGCGCAGAUAUCGGGAGGAACACCGGUGGCGAAGGCGACUUUCUGGUCUGUAACUGACGCUGAGGCGCGAAAGCGUGGGGAGCAAACAGG